UGAAAUGUGUUUUUGAUUGUUCACUUAAUGUAAUAGUCAUCCGAACUUGAUUUUUUAUAUUUUGUUUCCUGAUCCAAAGAGAAGAAAAUCGUGGCUUUAUGCUUUAUAUAGAACUGAUUCAUCUUGCUAAAACAAACUUAGGUCGCAAAACAUGUCUAAGUAUGCUCAAAACAUUUUGUAUCUGAAUAUUAUGUACAAAAAAGUCAUUGCAAUAAAUCUCAAGUUAUUAAAGUCAGUUAACAAAUAAGUACUGACAAUUCAUUGACUGGAGUGGAAGAUGUUAGUGUCUUGAACCAACAUGAAACAACAAGUUAACUUAGCUGAGAAUGAUGGUAGUUUAAAAAUAAUGCAGCAUUGACUAGGAUUGUUCCUCGGUCACAAAAACAAUCUUACAAAUAGAGUUUCUGCUGUUGUCACUGGUUUUAGAGAGUACCUUUGUGAAUGAAGAUAAAAAGUCAUUUAUGUUAUUUUUUAAAAGCCAAGACAUAAUAUUGUUAAUCCUCAUACCAUUUACUAAAAAGCUUUAUAAAUAUUGUUACGAUGUUAUAAUUCAAAUUGUUGUAAUUAGUAAUUUUGAUCAUUUCAUUAUUAUACUGUAAAAAAUAUUUUUUAUUUAUAACAUUUAUUUCACAUAUAUUAAAAACAUGAGGAAUAAAUAUUACACUGAGGAAAAUUUUAAACAAAAUAUAGAAU